rnacentral:lncRNA from 1 species
AUCUUCAUCUGAGUUUGAUUGUAUUAUAUUUCUACUUCAUUGUAAAAUGAAUUUAAAUCAUGUCUAUGCUUAAUCUGAUAUAUUCCUUCAUGCUCUGACCUCCCCCAACCAUUUAGAAUGUUAGUUUCAUGACAUCAUUUGAAUCCUUGACUGUUCUAUCAGUUGCUAAGUUUUGCAUUCUAUUAAUCUUUUCAAAUUUAACUGCUACUCCACUUCCAUUACUUUGACUAUAUUAUUUUCAAAUUUAAUUUCAGUUUCAUUUUCAUUAAAUUUUGUAAUUUCUAAAUUAAGUCACUGGAAGAUGAAAACUUUCAACUUCUGGGUUCAAACUGGAUGUUUUUACUAAGGAAGUCUGUACCAUAUAGCUAUUUGAACUGUUAAUUUGUUCAUGAGGGUUUUUGUGUUUAUCUGUGAGUAUUUACAAGUCUUUUACAGCUCCAUUAACAAUAAACCUUUGUUUUGACUUUCUGCUACAGUCCUUUUGUUGCAGGCAUAAUAAAUAGAUAAUCUGUUGGGGUUGUUUCUUCUUGUGGUAAAUGGAUACUCUGGCAGACUAGAGAGAUGCAAGUGGAACCUCAGGAAGCCUAUUUGAAAUGGAGAUAGAAAUAUGUCUUCAGAGAAAGACAUAGAGAGAUGCUGCUAGAGGGGUUACUCUGGGGUGGCCUAUUGAUCACUGAUGGCUAAUAGAUCAAUAUUUUUCCUAACUUUCUCCUCCCUAGAUACCACCCUUCACCUCCCAGAUUCCACCCAAGCCCUUCUGCCUCCUUUUCCCCACCCUCAGUCUUAGUCAGCCAUCUUCUAAGUAACUCAGGGGAACUAUGAGAUUUAAGAGAAAUAUUCUUCACUCUUCCUUUCUUAAGUAAGGGGGUUUAUUGUGAACAACAGGAUGGGGAUUGAGAUAUUCUUGACAAGAUCUUCCAAGUUGGUGUCCACUACAAUGAUUUGUGCCACUGUCCAUGGCACUAACAACUUGAAAAUGUUCUUCAUGUAUGUGAGAGUCUGUAUUGCAACCAUGGUGAAAAGCUGCAAGAACGGGAGUUACAACACAAACUACAUGAACUUCAUGAAUCUGGAGCUGCAGUACAAGCUGGACCAUUAGACAUUUCUCUGCAUGACCUGAACCCAGGAGAUAAAGUUUAUAUCAACAAUUUCAAGCAAACUGGAGCAACUCAACCUUCAUGGGAAGGACCAUUCCAAAUAUUAUUAACUACUCCAACAUCUAUAAAGAUUGGAGAAAGGAACUCUUGGAUUCACUGCUCACAUGUGAAGAAAGCAUCUUCUGCUGAGCCUGAUUGACUGUAUCCUAUCAUAUGAAUUGUGACUCUAUCUUAUCAUAUGA